rnacentral:rRNA from 1 species
AUUGAACGCUGGCGGCAGGCCUAACACAUGCAAGUCGAACGAGUGGCGGACGGGUGAGUAAUGUCUGGGAAACUGCCCGAUGGCGGGGGAUAACUACUGGAAACGGUAGCUAAUACCGCAUACCAUCAGAUCUGCCCAUAUGGGAUUAGCUAGUUGGUGGGGUAACGGCUCACCAAGGCGACGAUCCGUAGCUGGUCUGAGAGGAUGACCAGCCACACUGGGACUGAGACACGGUCCAGACUCCUACGGGAGGCAGCAGUGGGGAAUAUUGGACAAUGGGCGAAAGCCGGAUGCAGCCAUCCCGCGUGUAUGAAGAAGGCCUUCGGGUUGUAAAGUACUUUUGGCGGGGAAGCGGUACCCGCAGAAGAAGCACCGGCUAACUCCGUGCCAGCAGCCGCGGUAAUUC